GACGAACGCUGGCGGCGUGCUUAACACAUGCAAGUCGAACGGAAAGGCCUCUUUCGGGGGGUACUCGAGUGGCGAACGGGUGAGUAACACGUGAGUAACCUGCCCUUGACUUUGGGAUAACUUCAGGAAACUGGGGCUAAUACCGGAUAGGAGCUCCUGCUGCAUGGUGGGGGUUGGAAAGUUUCGGCGGUUGGGGAUGGACUCGCGGCUUAUCAGCUUGUUGGUGGGGUAGUGGCUUACCAAGGCUUUGACGGGUAGCCGGCCUGAGAGGGUGGUCGGCCACAUUGGGACUGAGAUACGGCCCAGACUCCUACGGGAGGCAGCAGUGGGGAAUAUUGCACAAUGGGUGGAAGCCUGAUGCAGCAACGCCGUGUGCGGGAUGACGGCCUUCGGGUUGUAAACCGCUUUCGCUCAUGACGAAGCUUUGUGUGACGGUAGUGGGUAAAGAAGCACCGGCUAACUACGUG
rnacentral:rRNA from 1 species